rnacentral:rRNA from 1 species
AAUUUUGGACUAUGGGGGAGACCCUGAUCCAGCCACCCCGCGUGUACGAUGAGGGCCCUCGGGGUGUAAAGUACUUUUGGCAGAGAAGAAAAGGUACGUCCGAGUACGAGGUACUGCUGACGGUAUCUGCAGAAUCAGCACCGGCUAACUACGUGCCAGCAGCCGCGGUAAUACGUAGGGUGCAAGCGUUAAUCGGAAUUACUGGGCGUAAAGCGUGUGUAGGCGGUUCGGAAAGAAAGAUGUGAAAACCCAGGGCUCACACUUGGAACUGCAUUUUUAACUGCCGAGCUCGAGUAUGUCAGAGGGGGGUAGAAUUCCACGUGUAGCAGUGAAAUGCGUAGAUAUGUGGAGGAAUACCGAUGGCGAAGGCAGCCCCCUGGGAUAAUACUGACGCUCAGACACGAAAGCGUGGGGAGCAAACAG